GAUGAACGCUGGCGGCGUGCCUAAUACAUGCAAGUCGAGCGAACGGACGAGACGCUUGCUUUUCUGAUGUUAGCGGCGGACGGGUGAGUAACACGUGUAUAACCUACCUAUCAGACUGGUAUAACUUCGGGAAACCGGCGCUAACACCGGAUAAUCUUUUGAUCCGCAUGGUUCAAAAGUGAAAGACGGUCUUGCUGUCACUUAUAGAUGCAUCUGCGCUGCAUUAGGUAGUUGGUAAGGUCACGGCUUACGAAGGCAACGAGGCAUAGACGACCGGAGAGGGUGAUAGGCGGCCCGAGAGCUGGACCGGGGACCAUGCUCCUGCGAGAGGCAGCAGUAGGGAAUCUGCCGCAAAAGGCGAAAGCCUGACGGAGCAACGCGGCGUGAGAGGUGGAGGUCUUCGGAUCGUAAAACUCUGUUAUUAGUGAAAAACAUAUGUGUAAGUAACUGUGCACAGCUUGACGGUACCUAAUCAGGAAGCCACGGCUAACUACGUG
rnacentral:rRNA from 1 species